AAAAGGAUAUUAUAUAACAAUUCCUCAUAUGCCACCACACACAGGCAAAUUACAGAGAUAUUCAAUGAGAGGAAUGCUAAAUAUUCACAGAGGUAUAAUAUAUUUACCUGAUUCUUGUUUAAUCAAUUUGCCCACUAAUAUUUUAUGCAGAUACAGUUCAUCAAAUCUAACAAAAUUAACUUGGGAAGAUGGGAGAUUUUACUCUAUUACAUUAAAAGAAAAUACUUAUAUCUCACUCCAUAGGGACAAGACUGAAUAAUUGGAUUUCUGAUUGAGGUAACCCGGACUGGAAACCUCCAAAUGAUUGGAAUGUGCUAGAAGAUUACCACCGCACCGUACCAAAGCCCAGGAACCGCAUGUUUUGGCCAGCAGCGGUGUAUUCACCAUAGCCCUGCUGGCCUCAACUGCCAAUCAAGAAUGAAUGUCACCCCCAUAGAAAGUCAGUGCCGAAUGGAGGGUUGCAUCAAGCUUGUCGGCAAAGUGGGAUAACCACCUUCCGUAGGGAUCAGUAUUUGGAGUAACUAUCUGUAUUUUCCAAUAACUGAAGAAGAACAAGUAUACCAGCAGAUAUGAAAAGAGUGAAAUGUUUUAUCAAAGACUUUAUCGGCACAUCACCUGAUCGGACAGAAACUAUCCUGUUGGCCCCAU